UACGUAGGGUGCGAGCGUUGUCCGGAAUCAUUGGGCGUAAAGCGCGCGUAGGUGGCUUCGUAAGUCCGUUGUGAAAGUCAAAGGCUCAACCUUUGAAAGCCGAUGGAUACUGCGGAGCUAGAGUACGGAAGAGGCGAGUGGAAUUCCUGGUGUAGCGGUGGAAUGCGCAGAUAUCAGGAGGAACACCAAUAGCGAAGGCAGCUCGCUGGGACGUUACUGACACUGAGGCGCGAAAGCGCGGGGAGCAAACAGG
rnacentral:rRNA from 1 species